UGGGGAAUUUUGGACAAUGGGGGAAACCCUGAUCCAGCCAUCCCGCGUGUGCGAUGAAGGCCUUCGGGUUGUAAAGCACUUUUGGCAGGAAAGAAACGUCAUGGGUUAAUACCCCGUGAAACUGACGGUACCUGCAGAAUAAGCACCGGCUAACUACGUGCCAGCAGCCGCGGUAAUACGUAGGGUGCAAGCGUUAAUCGGAAUUACUGGGCGUAAAGCGUGCGCAGGCGGUUCGGAAAGAAAGAUGUGAAAUCCCAGAGCUCAACUUUGGAACUGCAUUAUUAACUACCGGGCUAGAGUGUGUCAGAGGGAGGUGGAAUUCCGCGUGUAGCAGUGAAAUGCAUAGAUAUGCGAAGGAACACCGAUGGCGAAGGCAGCCUCCUAGGAUAACACUGACGCUCAUGCACGAAAGCGUAGGAAGCAAACAGA
rnacentral:rRNA from 1 species